rnacentral:lncRNA from 1 species
GUUAUGUUUGAAAUCCUGUAAAAGAGGCAGCCUCUUUACAAUAAAACACAGAGAUGUUCAGUUACUCAAAUGAUUCUUUUAAUUUCAAAUGGGUAGUAUAAAAUAUAUAAUAAGAUACAUUAAGUAGUUAUGUAUUGUCACUUAGGUGAAAUAGAAUUUUUGUUGAAUAUUUCCAACUUUUUAAACUUGGAUAGGAAAGACUAACUGGUUAAUAUUUUUGUUAUCUUUUGUUAUUUAUUUUUUAAUGAUUUGUUUAUCUUACUCACCUUUUCUGUCUAAAAUCUGUCUAUUCAGUGGUUUGCAACAUGAUGGAUUGGAAAGUUGUAAAUCAAGAAUAGAAUGCAUAUUAUACCUUAGUAAUGAUGAAAAGUUCUU